rnacentral:rRNA from 1 species
AAUUGGAGUCAACGCCUGAAACCUUACCCGGAGAGACAGCAGAAUGAAGGUCAAGCUGAAGACUUUACCAGACAAGCUGAGAGGUGGUGCAUGGCCGUCGCCAGCUCGUGCCGUGAGAUGUCCUGUUAAGUCAGGUAACGAGCGAGAUCCCUGCCUCUAGUUGCCACCAUUACUCUCAGGAGUAGUGGGGCGAAUUAGCGGGACCGCCGCAGUUAAUGCGGAGGAAGGAAGGGGCCACGGCAGGUCAGUAUGCCCCGAAACUCUGGGGCCACACGCGGGCUGCAAUGGUAACGACAAUGAGUUCCAAAAUCGAAAGAUAGAGGUAAUCCCUAAACGUUACCACAGUUGUGAUUGAGGGCUGCAACUCGCCCUCAUGAACAUGGAAUCCCUAGUAACCGCGUGUCAUUAUCGCGCAGUGAAUACGUCCCUGCUCCUUGCCCACGCCGUCGUAAACAACAUUUACUAAAUCAUUAUUUGUGAUUUUUGAUACAUUUUCAUAAACAUCUUUAUCUUUAUAAUUUAUUGUAAAUUCACAACCAUGU